rnacentral:rRNA from 1 species
CCUACGGGUGGCACCAGUGGGGAAUAUUGCACAAUGGAGGGAACUCUGAUGCAGCGACGCCGCGUGAGUGAAGAAGGUCUUCGGAUCGUAAAACUCUGUCCUUGGUGACGAAGAAAAUGACGGUAGCCAAGGAGGAAGCCCCGGCUAACUACGUGCCAGCAGCCGCGGUAAUACGUAGGGGGCGAGCGUUGUCCGGAUUUACUGGGCGUAAAGGGUGAGUAGGCGGUUAUAUAUGUCAGGUGUAAAAAGCUAUGGCUUAACCAUAGUAAGCACUUGAAACUGUAUGACUUGAGUGCAGGAGAGGUAAGCGGAAUUCCUAGUGUAGCGGUGAAAUGCGUAGAUAUUAGGAGGAACACCGGUGGCGAAGGCGGCUUACUGGACUGUAACUGACGCUGAGUCACGAAAGCGUGGGUAGCAAACAGGAUUAGAUACCCUAGUAGUC